rnacentral:tRNA from 1 species
GCUGCGAUGGCCGAGUGGUUAAGGCGUUGGACUCGAAAUCCAAUGGGAUAUUCCCACGCAGGUUCGAAUCCUGUUCGCAGCG